rnacentral:rRNA from 1 species
CCUACGGGUGGCAGCAGUGAGGAAUAUUGGUCAAUGGGCGGAAGCCUGAACCAGCCAAGUCGCGUGCAGGAUGACGGCCCUACGGGUUGUAAACUGCUUUUAUACGGGAAUAACGCGCCUUACGUGUAGGGCUUUGCAUGUACCGUAUGAAUAAGGACCGGCUAAUUCCGUGCCCGGCGCCGCGGUCAUACGGACGGUCCGGGCGUUAUCCGGAUUUAUUGGGGUUAAAGGGAGCGUAGGCCGCAUUCCAAGCGUGCUUUGAAAUGCCCGGGCUCAACCCGGGCCUUGCAGCGCGAACUGGCGUGCUUGAGUCCGCGGAAAGCAGGCGGAAUUCGUCGUGUAGCGGUGAAAUGCUUAGAUAUGACGAAGAACCCCGAUGGCGAAGGCAGCUUGCUGCAGCGGAACUGACGCUGAUGCUCGAAAGCGCGGGUAUCGAACAGGAUUAGAUACCCUGGUAGUC